CAGGGCAUUGCAAAAUAAGGCUCUACAGUCGUGGAAGAAGAGGACGAGACAAAGGCCAAACAAAACUCGGUGUUAUUCGUUGGAACUUGAUUGGGCCUCCCCGCAUGACUGAAACUGCACGAAACUCGACAAACUGCCAGGACAUGUGUGAGCAACAGAUUGUGCAACUAUAAAAGGACAUGGGCCCCACAGUUCGCUCAGUCACAGUCACUCGCCUGUUCAGACUGAGAACGAGAAGAUGACCUCCAGAGUUUUCUUUGGUUGCUUUUUGGUUGUUCUGCUACUUCCAGAUUUAAUUGAUGCCAGGUGUGAAUCAGGGAUAGUGUCCAGCGACGUCUGUAGGAGAAGCAGUAGCCAAAGGUGUCAGAGCCAAGAAAAGCACGUGCGUUUCGAAAAACCGUUUGAAAAGACUCCGAACGUUAUGGUGGCAAUAUCGACCUUUGAUAUUUGGAAUGGUGCAAAUAGUAGACUGACAACAUACCAUUCAGGCGUCACCUCUCAAGGCUUUAAUGUGAAUAUCAAAAGCUGGGCUGACACUCAUCUGUACUAUGUAACGGUGUCCUGGAUGGCAUGCCUCUGACCUGUUUUGAAUAUACAUGCAUGCUUUAAUUGAAAACACUGAAGAUGCAGCAGUAAUAUGGACUUCAUAUUGUCGAUUCCCGAUUAUAUACCUUAUAAAAACAUGCACCGAAACUACUUGUGUCAAACAAACUCAUUCAAAAAUGUCUUUAAAUGUAUAAAGGGGAUGUCAUGUGUGUAACAGCUAGUUAAAGUGGCAAUGAUAUUAAAAAUAAUGAACAUUUUUGUUGUUGCUAAACUUAUGUUAAUUACUGCUAUAGGCAUUUGAUCAGACUGAAAUAUUUUAAAACGCUGCAACAAUAGUUUCUUAAGAGUUAAAAAAUACAAAUAUCCCACAUCGACAAAAUUUAUAAUUAAUUUUCAAAGUAAUAGAAGCAUUGCGUCUUGGUAAUUAAAGUAAUCUCUUUUUUAAUGUUAAUGUUAAAUGUACAUUUACAAAUGUUAAAGUGUGUACAACAAUGAAUAAAUCCUUUUUGGGUGGGGGUAGGGGGUUCUAAAUAAUAUUCUUACAUGCAUUUAUGGACCUGUAACGCUAUACGACGUUCUGAGUUUUCUGUGUUGAGCUAUACGACGUUCUGAGUUUUCCGUGUUGAGCUAUAUGACGUUCUGAGUUUGCUGUGUUGAGCUAUAUGACGUUCUGAGUUUUCUAUGUUGAGCUAUACGACGUUCUGGGUUUUCUGUGUUGAGCUAUAUGACGUUCUGAGUUUUCUGUGUUGAGCGUGGCAUUUUCUGUUCCUGCCCUCCUUUUUUUUACCAAAUUUAUAACUGAUCAUCAAAAAGAACCCAAGCGAAUAAAAUCCUUAAAGAUACUAUUGUUCAAAGGUGAAACACGGAGUUAAAAUGAAACACUUAUUUGCUACAGUUCAGUGUAACAAUUAUUCUCAAAAUGAUGUAAGCACAGAACUACAGUUACAGCUAGACAAAAUUCUAAAUUCAAGAGAGGACCAUUGGUGUGAUUUUUUUCGGAAAUCGAAGGGGGUUAGGACCCCACCAACACACACACACACACACACUAAAUCCGCCGCUGCUACUGUACAAAUACAUCCCCUUUUCUGUCAUUAACGUGUGAACUUAGAUGCAGAAUUUAGCCAGUAUAGUAUUUGUCUAAUUCUAACUGAAUGCUUACAGUGCAAUUGCUUACAACCUGUCGUCUCUUUUACAGCAGCGCAGUACUUGCACAUGUAGGUCUACGUAGGGGUCACUCAUUUCAUCAUCACUUUAUCACCUACCCAUUUCUAAAUGUAUUUUCCUGGUCAGACCUUAUGGUCUUAU